UUGAUUACGUCCCUGCCCUUUGUACACACCGACCGUCGCUGCCACGGACUGAACCAUUUAGAGAAGACUGGGGACUGCUGAUUGAUGGUCUUUCGGGAUUGUCUUUCGGUGAAAACCAGCUUAAUCGUAGUGGCUUGAACCGGGCAAAAGUCGUAACAAGGUGGCUGUAGGUGAACCUGCUGCC
rnacentral:rRNA from 1 species